rnacentral:lncRNA from 1 species
CAGACCAAUAGAAUGUGUGUGUCUGUCUGUGUGUUUAUAAAGAGAUUAAUUACAAGAAAUUGGCUCACCUAAUUACAGAGUCUGAGAAGUCCAAACUCAGGAGAGCUGAUGGUUUAAGUUCCAGUCUGGGUCCAAGUCUGGAUGCAGGAGAAGACUCAUGUCCCAGUUUGGAGACAACCACACAGAGAGAAAGAAUGUUUUCUUACACAACCUUUUGUUCUAUUCAGGCCUUCAGUGGAUUGGAUGAGGCCCAUCCACAUAGGAGAGGGCAGCCUGACCCACCGUUAUUUCCAUCAUUUAUCAAAGAUAAUCUCUCUCCUUUUUUUUUUUUAAAGAGAUGGGAUCUCACUAUGUUGCCCAGGCUGGUCUCAAGCUCCUGGGCUCAGGGGAUCCUCUCACCUCAGCCUUCCGAGUAGCUGGGAUUACAGGUGCAUACCACUGUGCCUGGCUGAGGAGUUCAUCCUUUCUUUCCUCGUUGCCAUACAGGUGGCUGUGGUCAAAAAUCAGUUGACUGUAUGUAUCUGUACGUGCUUUUCCAUUGGUCAGUUUGUCUGUCCUCAUGCCAAUACUGAUGCAGGGCAGGUGAGCCCCAGAUAUGGGCUUAGCCCAGGAAAGUUCUUUGCUUUGCCCAGGAAAGAAUUCAAGGGCGAGCCAAAGGUAGAAGAAAACAGCUUUACUGAAGCAGCAGUGUUACAGGAUCUCAUAUGGAGUAGUCUUGGAACAGAGCAUCACUUAACUCAUAAGACAAUCCCAUAGUCAUGGCCAGUAUUACUGAAGAACAGUCGAAAAUGAAGAUGAGAAAACCUUAAUAUUGUAAAUAAGUUAACAGGAAAAUAGAACUUGACUUGCCACAAGAAAGAGUCUUGCAUAGAGAGUCCAGGUAUUUAUCAAUUUCAUAAACUGGAAUUGGGGUCAAAAUGGAUGGGGUAGAUUUGUGUUCUCCUGGACCUUGUCCAUUCUCUGUGUGGACAGGGAGGUGAUGUCACGGAGGGUGACAGUAUUUUAAGGACUGGUUAAAAAUGACUUAACAUUUAGGCCGGGCGCAGUGGCUCACGCCUGUGAUCCCAGCACUUUGGGAGGCCAAGGGCGGGCAGAUUACCUGAGGUCGGGAGUUUGAGACCAGCCUGACCAACAGGGAGAAACCCCGUCUCUACUAAAAAUACAAAAAGUAGCCAGGCAUGGUGGCACAUGCCUGUAAUCCCAGCUACUUGGGAGGCCGAGGGAGGAAAAUCGCUUGAACCUGGGAGGCAGAGGUUGCAGUGAGCCAAGAUCGUGCCAUUACGCUCCAGGCUGGGCAACAAGAGCGAGGCUCCAUCCCCGCCCCCCAACCAAAAAAAAAAAAAAAA